rnacentral:sRNA from 1 species
ACUCGCGGAGCGGCACUGAGCAUGCUCAGUUGCCGGAGCCCGUUCUGGUCUCAAGUAGGAAGCUAGUGCGCUGUAACCGCAUCUGAUCUGGGCGCUCCGGGAAGGGCGAGACUGGAGCAGAGCCGCUGGGCGCCGGAGCCGAGGCGAGCGCCGCGCGCACCACUGGUUGGAGUUGCUGUGGGUGAGCUGCUGUGGUCUGUAGCCAAGCAUGCUGUGGUCGGAUCUGCCCAGCCGUGGAACAGAAACAUUUGCUGGAUGGAAAAUCCAUAAAAGAAAGCUCCUGUGAAAAGCUGAGGCUGACAAUAAUUUAAGCAAAAUCAGGAUCUUGCUCCAUCACCCAGGCUGGAGUGCAGUGGUACAAUCAUGGCUCACUGCAGCCUUGAUCUCCCAGGCUCAACUGAUCUUCCUUCCUCAGCCUCCUGAAUAGCUGGGACCACAGAUCGAUCUCUUUGGGCUGCCUGACCUCCUUGGGUGCUUGCUAUUAAUUAACAGACUUUGUGGGGAAAAAAAGGAGCUUGCCUUCUGAGCUUUGUACCAAAGACCUGGGAAAAAUUUCAAAUUAUAAC